rnacentral:tRNA from 1 species
GCGAGCGUAGUUCAAUGGUAAAACAUCUCCUUGCCAAGGAGAAGAUACGGGUUCAAUUCCCGCCGCUCGCC